ACUAUGUAGCUCAGUUGGUGAGAGCACUGCACCGGAAUCGCAGGCCGGGCCGCAGGUUUGAUUCCUGCCAGUG
rnacentral:tRNA from 1 species